GAUGAACGCUGGCGGCAUGCCUAACACAUGCAAGUCGAUCGGUAAGGCUCUUCGGAGUACACGAGAGGCGGACGGCUGAGUCACGCGUAGGAACACACCCUGCAGUUAGGGAUAAGACACCGAAAGGUGUUCUAAUACCGCAUACGGUCUUCGGAUUAAAGCAUUUAUGCGCUGAAGGAGUGGCCUGCGUCAUAUUAGAUAGUUGGUGAGGUAAUGGCUCACCAAGUCGAUGAUGUGUAGCUGGUCUGAGAGGAUGAUCAGCCAGACUGGAACUGAGACACGGUCCAGACUCCUACGGGAGGCAGCAGUGAGGAAUAUUUCACAAUGAGCGAAAGCUUGAUGGAGCAAUGCCGCGUGCAGGAUGAAGGCCCUCGGGUUGUAAACUGCUUUUAUAAGAGAAGAUUAUGACGGUAACUUAUGAAUAAGGGACGGCUAACUACGUG
rnacentral:rRNA from 1 species